GCGAAGCAUCUAUAGUACUUCUUAGAGUGUACUAGAUAACCGAGGAAGGCGAGGCAAGGAUGCCGAGCCAGCCUGAACUGAGGCAGGAUGCCGAAUUGAAGGCGGUUCCGUAGUGUUUUGAUAACUUUCCGUACACACUUAGAAGUACUUAGAUGUGUAGC
rnacentral:ncRNA from 1 species